UCCGUCUAGAACAGUGCCGUAGCUGCUACUGCCACCUUUCGCCAAUUAAGUAAGCUGAGAUUUGUACACUCGCCGUCCGGUGGUUGCUAGGUAGGACACGAAAGUAAACAACAUUCCAAAGAAGAAUGAAGAAUUUCAAGGCAAGUGUCCAGCUUGGCUUGCAAGAUCGAACAAGAUCAUCAUUUGGUGGCUGAAAAUGAAGAAUUAAGAUAACCAGGGCCCAGACUAACAAGUAAGUUUUCUAUUAUAGCGAAUGGUUAGUGAACAAUUGUCGGUUCAUUGGCAGCACACUGCUCACUGCUCAGCCCUUUCAGACCAAUCGUGAGCUUUUUCAAUAGUUAAUGGUUAAAGCUAAUGCCGCUACAAUUCCUGAUCUAUAUUUUCUUUUGGUGUAUUUUGAAUUUGGCAUCGUGUUUAUUAGCCUCAGCCCUCAAUUACUCGCAACAUUCCAAUGUUCUGUCGCUUUUUUCUUCACCAUUAUCUACAAUU